rnacentral:rRNA from 1 species
UACGGAAGGGGCUAGCGUUGUUCGGAAUUACUGGGCGUAAAGCGCGCGCAGGCGGUUGGACAAGUGAGGCGUGAAAGCCCUGGGCUCAACCUGGGAAUUGCGCUUCAGACUGUCUGACUGGAGUUCGGGAGAGGGUGGUGGAAUUCCCAGUGUAGAGGUGAAAUUCGUAGAUAUUGGGAGGAACACCGGUGGCGAAGGCGGCCGCCUGGCCCGUAACUGACGCUAUAGCGCGAAAGCGUGGGGAGCAAACAGG